GUGCAAUGCUCCUAUGACCAGCGUUGGUUACUAUGCCUCUUGCUACUCUAUGUCCAGCUCCUGUGUAUGAAAUAGAGAUAUGGAUCAGCACUCCAUGAGUUGCGCCCAGCCUAGAUGGUAAUAUGUUGCUAUCGAUUGUGUUGCAUAGCUCUUAUUUGCAACUCUUAGCGCUUCAUGUUUACUUGCUGUGAUGAUUUGUUCAUAUUUUGUGAAGGCUAUUUUAGGUCUUGUACCACGUCGAUUGCAUUCGGCACCCCGGUGACCAAUCAACAUUGGUAGCAUUGGCACCACAGAGGAGUAGAUUAUCUGAUGGCCUUCUCUAAGGUUGUUUCUUAUUUAUAUGUGGGGAUUUUUGGUGGAGAUGCAACUUGACAUCAUAAACUAAUUUCGAGGCUUAUGAUCAAGGUAUCUUUUGAACAUUGAUCAUGCAAUAUCAGAAUCUGAAAUAAUUCAUUCCAUUGGCUUUCAUGUUUUGCUAGGAAAUGUGAUCUAUCACAUUAACAGUUCAUCUUUGUAAUGCUCAAUAGUGUAGAACUGAUGCCUGCGAUCUGUUCUGUGCUCCUAACUAGAGUGUUUUAACAUUUUUAAUAUGUGUCUGGUUUUGCCCCUGUUAGCUAAUGGUGGCUUUUAUUUCGCUCACAGAUGUGUAGGUAGAAUAUGUUGUCUGUGGCAAUGGUAUCCCAAAAUUUGACUGGCAGACCUAACUAUUUGCUAACAAUUCUCCUAUUUACUCUCUUCAUUGCUGAGUGAUUAAGGUGGCUUUCGGACAAUUAAUCGACUUGAAUUCUUGGCACCAUCAAGGAUGUUGUUGAGUUUCAAGUGAUUCUGGCAUUAUUUGAUGGUCUGAUGAGCAUCCUGCAGGCUCUUGAGAUUUCUAAGAGACUAAAGUUGUGAGCUCCAUAAUAGAAGCUAGCUGACUAAAGUACAUCUCUACUGAUGAUUGAUUAUUGCUAUUUGAUAUCGAUUGGGAUCCAAUAGCAAUAUUCAGAAGCAGCUGUACUACAGUGAGCAAGCAUAUUGAGUUUGUUCCCACUUUCAAAGGUUUCAGGGCUUCAGGUGGGAGUAGGAGGAGUUGAUCGGGGUCAGAAGCCAUGCAUCGUCCCGCAUGGCUUAUAUUUGGGUUUAAGCACUCAGUUGACAAGGUUACAUACACUCAUCGUGGAUUCCAGGGAAGCAUGUUAUGUUUCAAAUUUCUGGAAUUAGGACACAUUGCAUCCUUCUCAUUGCUACUUACAAGAUGAUGGAGGCACGCUUUCAAUAUUACUAUUGAACAAAGAUCUAUCUGCAGCAUGUGUCCGCCGCUCUAAUUAUCAGUUUCUUUUGGCCAUGGUUGCCUCCUCCUCUACUCCACUGUUUGGAUUGGCAAAAGGAGGGACUCAUUACCCUUUAUCACUUACAGGUGUGGUUGUUCCUCAUGCCUUCAAAUCAACAUUGUCCUUCAGUUUCAUUACUCGCUUGGCCGUGGUUGCCUCCUCCUCUGCUCCGCUGUUUGGACCUCCAAAAGGAGGGGCUCAUUACCCUUUAUCACUUACAGGUGCGGUUGUUCCUCAUACUUUCAAAUCAACAUUGUCCUUCAGUUUCAUUACUCGCUUGAGCAUCUUAUGAUAAUCUUUUUUUUUUAUCCUGUAUGAAUUGGCAGUUGUACUAGACUGCGUUAUUGGCCCAGUCUGAUACACUCUGUGCAGCGAUAAGAAUAAGAGCUGCAGUGCCCUUUGCACCAAGGUCUGUAGAAAAGCGAUACAAAAAAAGGAGAAAAAAAUAUUAACCCAUCUUUCUAUAUAAACAUAUUUCUGACCAUCGAUUGCUUUGUUUGCAGGCCUACGGUAUUAAU